CCAUCCUCCUAAGCGUGCUUAGGAUUUCUCAUUUCUUCCGCUCCAUUCUACAUCACAGCCGCCCUGUUCUUAUCUGUCUUCUUCGAUCUUCAUCUCGACGGAUCGAAGAUUGAAGAUCCAGCUUUUUUUCCAUUAAUCACCGGUUCCAUUUGAAUCCUAAAACUUAUGUUUUUUUUGGGAUACGGCAUACGGCGGCGAUAGAUGUGGAGUUCUUUAUUCGAUCUCAACAUUUAUGUUCAAUCUUUCUACGGGCUUGGGUGCUUUCGGUCCAGAAUUUAGGGAUAACUGAAUAAGGAUCAAGUUUAUUGAAACUUUAUACGUGAAUUGUUGUUGGUUGGUAUGAUUAAGUUAUAUGAAUUGAAAUUCGCUCUCGAAUCAUUCUGGGAUGGCAAGAGCAGUGCCGAGGAUCUGCAGACUGUUGCUGCUGAUCUCAGAUCAUCCAUCUGGAAACUAAAGCUCUUGGAGUUGAUAUUGUCCCAGUCAAAUUAAAAAUGGCUUUCUUAUAACAUGGGGUUGAAGCUGGAAAAGAAUUAUCAAAAGGUUUGGUGGAAGGCAUUGAGCAGAAACCAAAAAAAGGUUGCAAAGAGCAAAGAUGAAGGUUCCAAGAACAAGAGAAAAGAAAAGGAAAUUGAUGUUAGUAAGGUCACAUCUUUUUUUAAGGAAAAUAAAGAACAGGAUAGUGAUGCAAAGGUCCAGUACGUGAUCUUUGGGACUUCGUUGUGACUUUGAUGACUGGAAAGAUUGUUGGGGUUCUGAUUAGAAUCUGAUGUGGAUCUAGAAAACGGUGUUGCUGAUGACACAGGGGCUGUUAUACAUGCACAUAAAGCUGGCUAAUACAACUGCAAAUGGCUGCGAAAAACAGUCAUACAGGGCUGGGAAUUAUACCCGUAUAGGGUUGGAAUACUUUUGUUCUAUGGGGGUUGUUAUACAGCCAUGUAAGGCUGUGAAAUACGCUCUUAUGGGGCUAGAAAUAUGCUUGUACAAGGUUUAAUGAAGAUUAACAAGCAUUUUAAAGGAAACUCUUGCUUCUGUUAAUCCUAUACUAUAUGAUUUUGGAGUUGAUUUGGACGUAUUCAUGGUUAAAUCUGAUGAGGUGCAAGAUCGAUGGACGGCAACUUUAAAAGAAAACGUCACCAAAUGGGU
rnacentral:lncRNA from 1 species